UAUAAUUUCCAUACUGCUUCUAUUGUUGCUAUUCUCUUAGCACAAGCUAAUUUACAAACUGUACUAAUUCAGUUCUCUUUAGCAGCAUGCUGAAGCCAAGUUUCAUCCAUUCAUGGAACACAGGCUGGAAGAAAACCUGUCAAUAACUGGUCUUUCACCUUUUUGCCAUGUGCAAUGCAGAAUAGCAGGAAGAGGUACUAGCCACAUCAUUGUCAUAUCUGGAAAAAACAAAGUCACUGCGUUCAUGUUCUCCUAUAUUUUCUGUAAGACAUUAAUGCAAAGACAGGUAAGUAUUUAAGGGAACAAAACUGGAAAGGCUCCAUCAGCAUGUCCCAUUUCAGGCAAUAACUUCACAUCAUCCUAUGAAUAAAUUUCCAAGUGCCAAUCUUAAAAACAGCUGAGCUGUGCCUUAUUCCUUCAUGAUUCCUGUUGCCCAGGGGCUGAAUCUUCUGAGAGGGAAAUCUUUCUCAUCUGCAAUCUAACUGUGUAUGUAACCAGUUUAGAUUCACCUAUUCUCCCCACAUUACUCUAGACCUUAAAGAGCGCUUUUCUUCGGCUAAUGUUUAACCUGCAGUGUAUUUAUAGCUUGUUAUCAUAUUUCUUUCCAAACAUUUCACUAUGCUGAGCAAGCCAGCGUCUUCUCCCCUCCUCUCACAUAACUGCCAUAUUCUGCACCAUAUUCAAUUAAUCUUUAUGAACAUGGGAGACCUCACACACAGUAAUCCAAGACAUUUUACAAUGUGAUUUCCCUAGCCAUUCAACUGUAUUUUAUGUGGUGUUUACUCCACUGAAGAAUGAGGGUGAGCAAAGACAAAAGUUACACUGCGU